UGUCGAGCGGACAGAUGGGAGCUUGCUCCCUGAUGUUAGCGGCGGACGGGUGAGUAACACGUGGGUAACCUGCCUGUAAGACUGGGAUAACUCCGGGAAACCGGGGCUAAUACCGGAUGGUUGUUUGAACCGCAUGGUUCAAACAUAAAAGGUGGCUUCGGCUACCACUUACAGAUGGACCCGCGGCGCAUUAGCUAGUUGGUGAGGUAACGGCUCACCAAGGCAACGAUGCGUAGCCGACCUGAGAGGGUGAUCGGCCACACUGGGACUGAGACACGGCCCAGACUCCUACGGGAGGCAGCAGUAGGGAAUCUUCCGCAAUGGACGAAAGUCUGACGGAGCAACGCCGCGUGAGUGAUGAAGGUUUUCGGAUCGUAAAGCUCUGUUGUUAGGGAAGAACAAGUACCGUUCGAAUAGGGCGGUACCUUGACGGUACCUAACCAGAAAGCCACGGCUAACUACGUGCCAGCAGCCGCGGUAAUACGUAGGUGGCAAGCGUUGUCCGGAAUUAUUGGGCGUAAAGGGCUCGCAGGCGGUUUCUUAAGUCUGAUGUGAAAGCCCCCGGCUCAACCGGGGAGGGUCAUUGGAAACUGGGGGACUUGAGUGCAGAAGAGAGAGAGUGGAAUUCCCCGUGUACUGU
rnacentral:rRNA from 1 species